UGUUUAAUGAAACCCUAAUUCCCCGGGUUUGGAGCCUAUUUAAGGGCACUUAUAGCCUCCCAUUGCGGCUACCAGUCCCUUGAGAGAACCCUAAGAGAGCUAAAUCGUUGUGAGGGAGAAGAAGUCACUUUUUGAUCCUUGUACCUUUGGUUUAGGAAGAAGAAGGUGACAAGAGCAAAGAGGAGGUGCGAUUCAAGCAGAUCCAGAGUUCAGAGACAUCAUUUUGAGGUAGUAGUUCGAACCUCCUUCAGUUUUAGUGUUGAUCUUUAGAGUUAGGGUUUUCUAACCUCUUUGGAGAGUGAUUAUGUCGAGCAAAUGGUCCCUCUUCGAGUUUGUGCCUUGGAUUUGGACUCAAAGAGGUCCAGAGACCUUAACCCUUGGAGCUUUAUGGAUCAGAUUGGGGUUAUUGGACUUAAGUUGCCAUUUUGGGGCUAAAUCUCCUUUUGAUGCCUUGUUGUGGUUGUACAAGCAUCAAGUUUCGAACUUUACGUGACAUUCAUGCUUGGGGAGGCCAGAUCUAUGGUUUGGGGAAACAGAUCUGACCUCAGGAGGUUAGUAGAGUUUGUGCAUGGCAUAAGCUCGCCUUGUUGUUCUUGAGACUCGGCGAGUAGGGUUAGGGUUUCACAUAAAUUGUUCAGUGAGUAGACUUGCCGGGUUGGGGAUGACUCAGUGAGUCAGGAGGGAGUUAGAGGACUGGAGUUCAAGGCGAUACUCAGCGAGUUGUUCUUGAGACUCGGCGAGUUGAGUCGGGGUGGCCCCGUGAUUCAUGACUGGUAUGACUCGUCAAGUAUAGGGAGGGACUCGGCAUGUCAAGCGGGAAAAAAAGUUAAAUGACAUGUGAGAACUCGCCGAGUCACCUGGGUGCACUCGGCGAGUAGGGUCAAAGUGGGACCGUUGACUUUUGUUGACUUUUAGUGUUUGGUCAUCAAUAGAGUCCUUGUGACAAGAAGGGAGGGUAAAAUAGUCUUUUACCUUUCUGAGGGUGCCAAUGGCAGGUUGAGUCUAGUCUCGAGAGUUAUAUUUAUAAGAGUAUUUAUUUAUGUGAAUAGGCGGAGGCUAGGCAAUAUUUUUCAUCGAGUCAGAGAUUUACCGAGACGCCUGAGGUGAGCCUUCUCACUAUACUUUACCUAGUGUGGUCACAGAGUUAUGUGACAGAGUACUAUAGAGUUAUAUGCCAGUGUAUUUGCAUGUUAUUUAUGUGUUGUGAUUUAUUGUGAUAUGUGAUAUGCAUGAUUCAGAGUUACAGAGUUGGGACUUUCGGGUCCCUAGAGUUAGGGCCAGAGGGCCCACAGAGAGUUGGGGCUGGAGGGCCCCACUGAGACACAUUGACCAGAGGGUCAACAGAGUUACAGCCUCGAGUGGCUAUUAUGUGUUAGAGUGGUAUUUUGGGGAACUCACUAAGCUUAUGCUUACAGUGUCCAGUGUUAUGUGUUUCAGGUACCAGUGAUGACCGAGGGAAGGCGCCGGCUUGAUUCGUACACACACAUGGGAUUUUAUGUACUUUGAUCUUGGGAGAUAUUUUGUGAAACAAAGACAUGAUAUUAUGACAUUUUAUGAAUGAAGGAGUUUGUAAAAAUGCGUUAUAAAAUGCGAAAAAUUGUUUUAAUUUUUACGGUGUUACAAGUUGGUAUCAGAGCCUAGGUUUGAGGGAUUCGGGGGCACCUUCGGGCGAAUCUGAACUCAAACCGAGGAUUUGAGGAAAUUUUGACAAUAAAACAAGUUUUCAAAAGAAGAACUUAUGACACAAACAGAGCAGAGUCGUGUGUACGAAUAGCCAGCGCCCGAACGGUGAUUUCCCAAAAUACCAUUACCAUAAGUGUUGUAAGAUAUGAUGUGAUAUGUUAUAUGAUGAGCUAUGCUAUGCAUACUAGAGUAGACUAGGUAUUCUUAUUAGGACUAGAGUGGCCUGAUAUGUGAUGCCUGAGUCUAGGAGUCUUGCUGCUAGGAAUACUUCAGAGUGUUUAGGUAGCAGCGAGGAGGUUGUGAGAUAUCUGCUUGCGAGUAUCAUAUGAUUAGAGAGAAUAGAGUACUUGGGACUUGGGACUCUAGGAGGAGGACUUGGGGUGAAUGCUGAUGCGGUGUGGACGAUAGUAUUGGGCCCGUACUACUGAAGACACCGGGUCAGUGCACAGUCCAAGUAAGAAUCCUUGGAGUACCAAGGGACAAGUAGGGUGUAGUAUUCGAGUGUGAGCAUACUCGAGCGAGUCCCUGAUAUUUAUUCUUAUGUUGUAUUCAGAGAGAGAGAGAUCAUGGUUGGGACUCGCCACACACCAGGGACCAGUGAUACGAGAGAUGAGGAGAUCCAUAAGAUCAUCCACGAGGAGGUGGUUGCGGCCAUCAGGGCAGAGAUACCAGAGAUGUUCGGGUCUAUCAAGACCACACUGAUAGAUACAUUUGAUGAGAAGUAUGCUGCUCUUUCUGAGGCUGCUGUUGCUGUGGCCACUGCAGCUAUAGUUGGGACUAGGCCGCAAGGUGGUGAUGCGUUGCUGUUCCGAGAGUUCAGCAACACAAAACCAUCGGAGUUUGAUGGGACCCAGGACCCGAUUGCAGCGAUGAGACGAAUUUCAGACAUAGAGGGGUGUUUCUUUACUUGCUCAUCUCCAGAGCAUUUGAGUGUUCGGUUCGCGCUGAACCAGCUUCGCUUGGGAGCGAAGGAUUGGUGGAAGUUUGUGACGGCGCACUAUACGCCUGCUGAGCUUGCUGCAGUGACCUGGGAGAGGUUCACUACUAUGUUCCUAGAUGAGUACGUUCCCCAGGUGGAGAGGGAGCAUUUGGCCUAGGAGUUUCUGACCCUCAAGCAGGGUAUUGAGUUGGUUAUGGUGAUCACGAGGAUGUUUCAUGAGCGGGCGAUAUUCUGCCAUGAGCACGUGUCCUCCGAGCAGGCACGUAUGAGUUGAUAUCUAAGCAUCUUGAGGAGGGAUAUACGAGAGUUCUUGGCGAACUCGACGUACCGGACAUUUACCGAGCUUUAGGAAAAUGCCCGGAAAAGGGAGAUAGAGCUAGAGACCCAAGCUAGGGAGGAGGUUGAGUCUCAGGGGAGGGAUCGGCGACCGGUGCAGUCUCAGCCAGUAGCCAAGCGGGCCAAGCCUGCUGAUUCGAGGUCAGGGAACCAGAGGGGCCGCACUUGUGGCAAGUGCGGCAAGAGCCACGAUGGGGUGUGCAGAGCAGGGUCUUGCUACAAAUGUGGCAAGGAGGGGCAUAUGGCCAAGGACCACCCUAAGGGGUUUGCAGUAUGUUUUCACUGCAACCAGACCGGACACCAGAAGGCAGAGUGUCCGCAGCUACGGGGAUCAGCACAGGGAGCAUCUCAGGGAUCUUCCCCUGUUGCCAUCAGAGCUACCGAGAAUCGGCCAGUGAAGGCCGAGGCACCGAUGGCAUGAGGGAGAGCCUUUCAGUUGACCGCGGAGAAGGUCCGCGCAGCGUCCGAUGUCAUGGCUGGUAUGUAUUCUUUCGUGUAUUUAUUUUGAGGUUGAGAUAUUGUGCUUAUAUUAUGUUAUGCGUAGGUACUUUUCUUGUGAAUUUUGUACCUGCCUUGGUGUUAUUUGACUCGGGUGCGAGUCGGUCUUUUGUAUCUUUGGCUUUUAGUCAGCACAUCAGUGUUAGUCGUGAGGCGUUGAGUCGACCUCUGAGAGUUUCCAUAGCUGAUGAGAGGGUGAUAUAUGCCACAGAGGUGAUCCGAGGGUGCGUACUUGAGAUUUUCGGUGUUGAGUUCCUGAUUGAUUUAGUUCCUAUUGCGAUGGGUGAUGUCUGUGUCAUUGUGGGCAUGGACUGUUUGAGCAGAUUCGGAGCGGUUAUCGACUGCGAGCAACAGCUGGUGACCAUACGAGACCCUAGUAGGGGAGUUCUUACGGUGUACGGCGAGGGUACAUGUUCUGGGUCAGCAUUUUGUUCGGCCACUAGAGUGAGACAGUGUCUACAGCAGGGCUGUAAGGGCUUUGUAGCGUAUGUGAUGGAUACGCGGGUUGAUUCAGAGAGACCGAGGACAGUUGAUGAGGUUUCGAUAGUGCGUGAGUUCCCGGACGUAUUUCCAGAGGAGUUGUCGGGCGUGCCUCCCGUGAGGCAAGUGGAGUUUAGUAUCGAUUUGGUUCCGAGGGCCGCGCCUUCGCCUUGCACCUCCAGAGAUGCACGAGUUAUCCUCGCAGAUUCAGGAGUUACUGGGAAAGGGGUUUAUUCGGCCGAGCAGAUCGCCGUAGGGAGCGCCUAUCCUUUUUGUCAAGAAAAAGGAUGGUUCACACCGGAUGUGCAUUGAUUGUCGGGAGUUGAACAAGCUGACGGUCAAGAACUGUUACCCGUUGCCGAGGAUCGAUGAUUUGUUCGAUUAGUUGCAGGGAGCAUCUUGGUUCUCCAAGAUCGAUUUGAGGUCUGCGUAUCAUCAGGUGAGGGUGCGAGAUGAGGACAUUCAGAAGACAACGUUCAGGACUCGUUAUGGGCAUUAUGAGUUUGUGGUGAUGCCUUUCAGACUCACCAACGCCCCGACAGUGUUCAUGGAUCUCAUGAACAGAGUGUGCAGGCCGAUGUUAGAUCGCUCGGUGAUUGUAUUCAUCAACGACAUUUUGGUGUAUUCGAGGUCUAGAGAGCAGCAUGAGGAGCAUUUGAGGGAGAUCCUCGGAGUUCUAAGAUCAGAGAGGCUUUAUGCCAAAUUCUCCAAGUGUGAUUUCUGGUUGCGAGAGGUCUAGUUCCUAGGGCACCUCGUUAACCAGAAAGGGAUAUUGGUCGACCCGGCCAAAGUUGAGGCAGUGAUGAGUUGGGAGGUCCCGAGGUCACCCUCCGAGAUCAGGAGUUUCUUAGGGUUGGCAGGCUAUUAUCGGAGAUUUAUCAGGGAUUUCUCCAAGAUCAUCGUGCCACUCACCAGGUUAACCCGGAAGGGUGUCGCUUUUCAUGGGGCCCAGAGCAGCAGGCCUCCUUUGAGACGCUUCGCCAGAGGCUAUGUGAAGCCCCAGUGUUAGCCUUCCCAGAGGGAAUGGAGGACUUUGUGGUGUAUUGUGAUGCGUCGAUCUUGGGGUUGGGAGAGGUGCUGAUGCAGAGAGGGCAUGUGAUAGCAAAGGCAUCAAGGAAGCUGAAGCCUCAUGAGUCGAGGUAUCCCACCCACGAUCUAGAGUUGGGGGCAGUGGUGUUCGCCCUCAAGAUUUGGCGUCACUAUCUGUAUGGGGUUCGGUGUACGAUAUACACGGACCACAAGAGCUUGAAGUAUUUGAUGGAUCAGCCCAACCUAAAUAUGCGACAGAGGAGGGGGUUGGACGUGGUUAAGGAUUAUGAUUAUGAGAUCUUGUACCACCCGGGCAAGGCUAAUGUUGUAGCCGAUGCACUGAGCCGUAGGGUGGAAAGCGCCCCAUUGCGAGAUGUGUGUUUGAGAUUGACCGUGAUAGCUCUGGUAUUGGACACCAUUCGUGGGGCACAAGCUGAGGUUGUGCAGCCUGAGAGCCAGAAGAGAGAGCGAGUUGUCGGGUUGGUUUCGGAGUUCGUUAUCGAUAGCCGUGGGCUGAUGACAUUUCAGGGUCGUAUCUGGGUACUGUUUGUGGGAGGGACGCGUACCAUUUUGAUGGAAGAGGCUCAUCCGUCGAAGUUCUCGAUCCAUCCUGGGGCCACUAAGAUGUAUUUAGAUCUGAAGAGGGAGUAUUGGUGGCCCUGUAUGAAGACGGAUGUCGCGUGGUAUGUUGAGAGGUACUUGACCUGUCAUAGGUUUAAGACCAAGCACUAGAGACCGCAUGGUAAGUUGCAGCCGUUGGAGGUUCCCGAAUAGAAGUGGGAAAAGAUUACCAUGGAUUUUAUCACCAAAUCGCCAAGGACUGCUAGGGGAGUCGAUGCAAUUUGUGUGAUUGUGGACAUGUUGACAAAGAGCGCCUACUUCCUUGCUAUCAGUGAGAGCUCUUCCGCGGAGAAAUUGGCAGAGAUGUACGUGUGGGAGGUGGUAUCGCGACUUGGAGUGCCGAUCUCGAUUGUCUCAGACCGAGAUGUGCGUUUCACUUCCAGAUUCUGGAAGAAAUUUCAUGAGGAAUUGGGUACUAGGCUGCAUUUUAGUACCGCAUACCACCCCCAGACUGACGGACAAAGCGAGCGGACGAUUCAGACGCUCGAGGAUAUGCUCCGGGCAUGUAUGUUGGAUUUCGGUGGGAGUUAGGACACGUAUUUGCGCUUGGUAGAGUUUUCUUACAACAACAAUCAUCAUUCGAGCAUUGGUGUGCCACCCUUUGAGCUGUUGUAUAGGAGAAGGUGUCGGACCCCCAUUUGCUGGGGAGAGGUCGGGCAGCGUGUUAUGGGUAGUACCGAGAUUGUGCUUCAGACGACUGAGCAGAUACAGCAGGUCAGGCAGAGGUUAUUGACCGCUCAGAGUCGUCAGAAGAGUUAUGCGGACAGGCGCCGGUUUGAGCUCGAGUUCCAGGUCGGCAACUUUAUACUCCUAAAGGUCUCUCCUUGGAAAGGAGUGAUCCGAUUCAGGAAGAGGGACAAGUUGGGGCCCCGAUAUAUCGGUCCUUUUCGGGUGAUCGCAAGGGUAGUCAGGGUAGCCUAUCGGUUGGAGCUACCUGCAGAGUUAGGUCAGAUCUAUGACACUUUCCACGUGUUGCAAUUACGAAAGUGUAUAGCCGAUGAGUCGGCAGUGGUACCAUUGGAGGAUAUUCAGGUGGAUGCGAGCCUGAAAUAUGCUGAGAGACCAGUGGCAAUCAGGGAUCAGAAGAUCAAGGUUUUGAGGAACAAGGAAGUACCUUUGGUUUUNCAGUGGCAACACCGGAAAGGGUCAGAGCUUACUUGGGAGUCGGAGCGCGAGAUGCGUGAGCAGCAUCCGGAGUUGUUCCCAGAGUAAGACUUCGAGGGCGAAGUCUGAUUCUAGUGGGGGAGAAAUGUAACAUCUUGAAAUUCUAGGUAUAUUAAUUUAUUUAAUUAUUUUAGAAUUUGUGGAGGAACUCGGCGAGUUGGAUCCAAGACUCGCCGAGUAGGAUCGCAGAUGUUCAUCCGCGUUCACGUCCGGACUCGGUGAGUCCAUUAGUGGACUCGGCGAUUCCACACUGUUUAAUGAAACCCUAAUUCCCCGGGUUUGGAGCCUAUUUAAGGGCACUUAUAGCCUCCCAUUGCGGCUACCAGUCCCUUGAGAGAACCCUAAGAGAGCUAAAUCGUUGUGAGGGAGAAGAAGUCACUUUUUGAUCCUUGUACCUUUGGUUAAGGAAGAAGAAGGUGACAAGAGCAAAUAGGAGGUGCGAUUCAAGCAGAUCCAGAGUUCAGAGACAUCAUUUUGAGGUAAUAGUUCGAACCUCCUUCAGUUUUAGUGUUGAUCUUUAG
rnacentral:lncRNA from 1 species